rnacentral:rRNA from 1 species
AGAGUUUGAUCCUGGCUCAGGACGAACGCUGGCGGCGUGCCUAAUACAUGCAAGUCGAACGCUUUUUCUUUCACCGGAGCUUGCUCCACCGAAAGAAAAGGAGUGGCGAACGGGUGAGUAACACGUGGGUAACCUGCCCAUCAGAAGGGGAUAACACUUGGAAACAGGUGCUAAUACCGUAUAACAAUCGAAACCGCAUGGUUUCGGUUUGAAAGGCGCUUUUGCGUCACUGGUGGAUGGACCCGCGGUGCAUUAGCUAGUUGGUGAGGUAACGGCUCACCAAGGCAACGAUGCAUAGCCGACCUGAGAGGGUGAUCGGCCACAUUGGGACUGAGACACGGCCCAAACUCCUACGGGAGGCAGCAGUAGGGAAUCUUCGGCAAUGGACGCAAGUCUGACCGAGCAACGCCGCGUGAGUGAAGAAGGUUUUCGGAUCGUAAAACUCUGUUGUUAGAGAAGAACAAGGAUGAGAGUAAAAUGUUCAUCCCUUGACGGUAUCUAACCAGAAAGCCACGGCUAACUACGUGCCAGCAGCCGCGGUAAUACGUAGGUGGCAAGCGUUGUCCGGAUUUAUUGGGCGUAAAGCGAGCGCAGGCGGUUUCUUAAGUCUGAUGUGAAAGCCCCCGGCUCAACCGGGGAGGGUCAUUGGAAACUGGGAAACUUGAGUGCAGAAGAGGAGAGUGGAAUUCCAUGUGUAGCGGUGAAAUGCGUAGAUAUAUGGAGGAACACCAGUGGCGAAGGCGGCUCUCUGGUCUGUAACUGACGCUGAGGCUCGAAAGCGUGGGGAGCAAACAGGAUUAGAUACCCUGGUAGUCCACGCCGUAAACGAUGAGUGCUAAGUGUUGGAGGGUUUCCGC